UACGGGGGGGGCAAGCGUUGUUCGGAAUUACUGGGCGUAAAGGGCUCGUAGGCGGCCAACUAAGUCAGACGUGAAAUCCCUCGGCUUAACCGGGGAACUGCGUCUGAUACUGGAUGGCUUGAGGUUCGGGAGAGGGAUGCGGAAUUCCAGGUGUAGCGGUGAAAUGCGUAGAUAUCUGGAGGAACACCGGUGGCGAAGGCGGCAUCCUGGACCAGUCUCGACGCUGAGGAGCGAAAGCCAGGGGAGCAAACGGG
rnacentral:rRNA from 1 species